rnacentral:rRNA from 1 species
CGUCAAAGCUUUAGACACCUCGUUUUUGGACGAAAGACCCUUUGGAGCUUAACCCCUCAAUAGUACUGAACGAUUUUAUAUUUUUAUAAAACUCCUUAUGUUAAAACUAGUAACAAGAACUUAAUUUCUCUUCCUAUACAAGUGUAAAUCAGACUAGAAAGUCUACUGAUCUUUAGCAGCCCUAAAUUAAAGCAAUAAAUAACCCAGAAAAUCCUGCUUUAAUUUCUGUUAAUCUUACACAAGGGUAUAAAAAGAAAGAUCAAAAGAAAAAGAAGGAACUCGGCAAACCCUGAUUCCGCCUGUUUACCAAAAACAUCGCCUCCUGCUAACCUAUAGGAGGUCCAGCCUGCCCGGUGACCUAGUUUAACGGCCGCGGUAUCCUAACCGUGCGAAGGUAGCGUAAUCACCUGUUUUUUAAUUGAAGACCUGUAUGAAAGGCAUCACGAGAAUCAAUCUGUCUCCCUUUUCUGAUCAGUGAAACUAAUCUCCCCGUGAAAAAGCGGGGAUAAAGCUACAAGACGAGAAGACCCUUUGAAGCUUGAGACAAAGUAUUAUAUUGCACACUCACUUUACCCUAUCUAAAUUAGCACUUAUUUACUAGUCUUUGGUUGGGGCAACCGCGGGGUAAAAAACAACCCCCACGAUGAACGGAGCUUUCCUAAACGAAAAGCCACAACUUUAUGUAUCAAUAAAUUGACAUUAUGACCCAAUAUUUUGAUUAUCGAACCAAGUUACUCUAGGGAUAACAGCGCAAUCCACCCCGAGAGUUCAUAUCGACAGGUGGGCUUACGACCUCG